UCAUGUCUUCCCAAUUGUUGAUGGGAGCAAAUCUUUGCCUCCUCCUCUCGGCCACUGUCCUAUCCCACCAAGAUAAGGCGUUGUCGGUGAGUUGUGCCGAUGCUAAGGCUACCUUUCGGAGUUCUCCAUAUCCAUAACAUUGGAAUAUGUAUUCCAUCCUUUUCUCCCAAUCCAUGUAAACCUCUGGAUUUGAUUUUCCUGCAAAAGUAGGAGGUGUUAGUUUAACAUCUCG
rnacentral:lncRNA from 1 species